rnacentral:snRNA from 1 species
AUACACUACCUGGCCGGGGAGAUACCAUGAUCACGAAGGUGGUUUUCCAGGGCGAGGCUCAUCCAUUGCACUCCGGAUGUGCUGACCCCUGCCGAGUUCCCCAAACGUGGGAAGUGGGGGAGUGCGUUCACACUCUCCCCAG